rnacentral:rRNA from 1 species
CCUACGGGUGGCAGCAGUGGGGAAUAUUGCACAAUGGGGGAAACCCUGAUGCAGCGACGCCGCGGGAGUGAAGAAGUAAUUCGUUACGUAAAGCUCUAUCAGCAGGGAAGAAAAUGACGGUACCUGACUAAGACGCCCCGGCUAACUACGUUCCAGCAGCCGCCGGAAUACGUAGGGGGCAAGCGUUAUCCGGAUUUACUGGGUGUAAAGGGAGCGCAGACGGCUGUGCAAGUCUGGAGGGAAAGGCGGGGGCCCAACCCCCGGACUGCUCUGGAAACUGUAAAGCUGGAGUGCAGGAGAGGUAAGCGGAAUUGCUAGUGUAGCGGUGAAAUGCGUAGAUAUUAGGAGGAAAACCAGUGGCGAAGGCGGCUUACUGGCCUGCAACUGACGUUGAGGCUCGAAAGCGUGGGGAGCAAACAGGAUUAGAUACCCUAGUAGUC